UACGUAGGGGGCGAGCGUUGUCCGAAGUUACUGGGCGUAAAGCGCGCGUAGGCGGCUUCUUAAGUCUGGGGUGAAAGGUUCAGCGCUCAACGCGAACAGUGCCCUGGAUACUGGGGAGCUUGAGUGAGGGAGAGGCAAGUGGAAUUACUGGUGUAGCAGUGAAAUGCGUAGAGAUCAGUAGGAACACCAAUGGCGAAGGCAGCUUGCUGGCAUGUUUCUGACGCUAAGGCACGAAAGCGUGGGUAGCGAACGGG
rnacentral:rRNA from 1 species